rnacentral:rRNA from 1 species
UUUCCCUACGGGGCGCAGCAGUGGGGAAUAUUGCACAAUGGGGGAAACCCUGAUGCAGCGACGCCGCGUGAGCGAAGAAGUAUUUCGGUAUGUAAAGCUCUAUCAGCAGGGAAGAAAAAAAUGACGGUACCUGAGUAAGAAGCACCGGCUAAAUACGUGCCAGCAGCCGCGGUAAUACGUAUGGUGCAAGCGUUAUCCGGAUUUACUGGGUGUAAAGGGGGCGCAGACGGCGAUGCAAGCCAGGAGUGAAAGCCCGGGGCCCAACCCCGGGACUGCUCUUGGAACUGCGUGGCU